UUGCGGUUGAAAAGCUCGUAGUUGGAUCUCGGCAAGUAGAGGGCGGUAUGCUUCGUAGCAUUACUGCCCUAUUACUUGUAGUUUUGCCAGAGGUUCCUGGGUGCUCUUAAUCGAGUGUCUAGGGAUGCUGGCAGGUUUACUUUGAAAAAAUUAGAGUGCUCAAAGCAGGCUAUUACGCUUGAAUAUUCGUGCAUGGAAUAAUAGAAUAGGAAGUUGUUUCUAUUUUGUUGGUUUUCGGAAAUCGACUUAAUGAUUAAUAGGGACAGUCGGGGGCAUUUGUAUUCAAACGACAGAGGUGAAAUUCUUGGACCGUUUGAAGACAAACUACUGCGAAAGCAUUUGCCAAGAAUGUUUUCAUUAAUCAAGAACGAAAGUUAGAGGUUCGAAGGCGAUUAGAUACCGCCCUAGUUCUAACCAUAAACGAUGCCAGCUAGCGAUCUGAGGACGUUUUUUUUGUAGACUCCUCAGGAAGCUUCCGGGAAACCAAAGCGUGUGGGUUCCGGGGGAAGUAUGGUUGCAAAGCUGAAACUUAAAGGAAUUGACGGAAAGGCACC
rnacentral:rRNA from 1 species